AGCAGCAUCCCGAGGCCCAAUGUCUCACAAGUCCUUGUUGCCCACAAGACCCACCAGCUUGAGCACUGCCCCCAGGAGCGGCUGUAGCUGUGCAGGCCCAGGCAGCCAUGGCCAUCAGAACCGACAGCUGAAGACAGGUCUGCAGAAAACACUCUCAUCCUACGUGGCUCUCUGGGCGGGCGCUCCUGGCUCUGCUGCUGCAUACAGGUCAGCUCUCCCUCCCAGCAGGCCAAUCCUGCCUGCACCAUUCGCCACUCCCAAAGCCACGCCACCCAGAAGACCUGAGGACUCUGCUGAGCUUCACGGGGCAACGACCCUGCUGUAGAUGCCUUAGUGUGGCCGUGUCUGAUCUUGUUUUUCCCUCUUGGUGCAUGUAAACCACUCGUUAAUGAGACGGACUGCUCUGUGGGCGAGGAGGGGCUGUCAGCUGAGUUCCCUCUGACGUGGUGGCUGCUCUUACCUUGGUGUCUUUAGUUGGAAACAGCUUGGCUGGCUAAUCAAAAGCUGGAAACAAAUCCUCUCUAAUGAAUGUAACUUUAAAUCAGACUUCACACCUGAAGCAAGGGACGCUCAAAUUUAAAAUCCUCUGCUCCUUUACUUAAUAAACUCAUUUAAAACCAC
rnacentral:lncRNA from 1 species